rnacentral:rRNA from 1 species
AUUGAACGCUGGCGGCAGGCCUAACACAUGCAAGUCGAGCGGAUGAAGGGAGCUUGCUCCUGGAUUCAGCGGCGGACGGGUGAGUAAUGCCUAGGAAUCUGCCUGGUAGUGGGGGAUAACGUCCGGACACGGGCGCUAAUACCGCAUACGUCCUGAGGGAGAAAGUGGGGGAUCUUCGGACCUCACGCUAUCAGAUGAGCCUAGGUCGGAUUAGCUAGUUGGUGGGGUAAAGGCCUACCAAGGCGACGAUCCGUAACUGGUCUGAGAGGAUGAUCAGUCACACUGGAACUGAGACACGGUCCAGACUCCUACGGGAGGCAGCAGUGGGGAAUAUUGGACAAUGGGCGAAAGCCUGAUCCAGCCAUGCCGCGUGUGUGAAGAAGGUCUUCGGAUUGUAAAGCACUUUAAGUUGGGAGGAAGGGCAGUAAGUUAAUACCUGGCUGUUUUGACGUUACCAACAGAAUAAGCACCGGCUAACUUCGUG